rnacentral:tRNA from 1 species
CGCGGAGUUAAGAAGAGGCUUCUUGAUAGGCUCAUGACCUAUAUACGCGGGUUCGAAUCCCGUCUCCGCUA